GCAGCAGGCGCGAAAACUUUACAAUGCUGGCAACAGCGAUAAGGGGACCUUGAGUGCCAGGAUACAAUCCUGGCUGUCGUGAUGCCUAAAAAGCAUUAUAUAGCAAGGGCCGGGCAAGACCGGUGCCAGCCGCCGCGGUAACACCGGCGGCUCGAGUGGUAACCGCUAUUAUUGGGUCUAAAGGGUCUGUAGCCGGCUUGGUUAGUCUCUUGGGAAAUCCGGCAGCUUAACUGUCGGGCUUUCAGGAGAUACUGCCAGGCUCGAGACCGGGAGAGGUGAGAGGUACUUCAUGGGUAGGGGUGAAAUCUUGUAAUCCUUGAAGGACCACCAGUGGCGAAGGCGUCUCACCAGAACGGAUCUGACGGCAAGGGACGAAAGCUAGGGGCACGAACCGGAUUAGAUACCCGGGUAGUCCUAGCCGUAAACGAUACUCGCUAGGUGUCGGCCACGGUGCGACCGUGGUCGGUGCCGUAGGGAAGCCGUGAAGCGAGCCACCUGGGAAGUACGGCCGCAAGGCUGAAACUUAAAGGAAUUGGCGGGGGAGCAC
rnacentral:rRNA from 1 species